UCGCGAUCCCGUAAAAGUUAACUCAAAUUUGUAUGAAGUUGGAACAACUACCCUUCGUUUGCCGCUAGGGGCGCUGUUCCAACUCCAUACAAAUUUGAGUUAACUUUGACGCUAUCGA
rnacentral:pre_miRNA from 9 species